GUAGUUGUAGUAAAAAGAUUAURCUUGCCUUCCAAGCAAGGGUUCUAGGUAGGGCUAGCGACUAUA
rnacentral:tRNA from 1 species